GGAAGAUUGUAUGUUUGCAGAUCUCAUUACCACAUUCUUUGGAGCAUUUAGACUUCGGAAGUGGAUUGUUGUUCUCGACAGAACAAAGGAGGCUAACAUCACAGAGUUUAGCUGUGAAGUUCUCGUCCAGCAUGAUGGUACUUGAACUGACUGAAACGUGGUACAUCGGUGGAUCACAAAAGAAGUGGAGAUAUUCUAAAGCAGCAGCGAUGCCAACUGCUAUCUGCAGUCUUAUCCUCCAGUUUAGUGGAGUCAUCAGAGGGUCAGAAAGGUGUUCCUUCAGACUUCCUUUUUCCAUAUUUUCAAAGACUAGAAACCUCUUCGGGCCGCAAGAGAACCCAUUAAGUGCAGCAAUAUGUCGAUGAUGCAAGCGACCGUGUAACUGUACCUCCCUGUAGAAGGCCGUAUCAUCCUGAUCUUCGAAACCUCGGACUUCUUUCACAAACGCAGCAUGGCCAUUUUGAAACUUUGCUCUGUAAGCAACUAUUUUGGAAGAGUUGUACACAAUUCUCCUAAAACCAUCAGUUGCUUUCUUUAUAUCUUUAUUAGAGAAGUGUUUCACCAAGGAUAUUGGACCUGAAUGAG
rnacentral:misc_RNA from 1 species